rnacentral:rRNA from 2 species
GAGUUUGAUCAUGGCUCAGGACGAACGCUGGCGGCGUGCCUAAUACAUGCAAGUCGAACGAACUCUGGUAUUGAUUGGUGCUUGCAUCAUGAUUUACAUUUGAGUGAGUGGCGAACUGGUGAGUAACACGUGGGAAACCUGCCCAGAAGCGGGGGAUAACACCUGGAAACAGAUGCUAAUACCGCAUAACAACUUGGACCGCAUGGUCCGAGCUUGAAAGAUGGCUUCGGCUAUCACUUUUGGAUGGUCCCGCGGCGUAUUAGCUAGAUGGUGGGGUAACGGCUCACCAUGGCAAUGAUACGUAGCCGACCUGAGAGGGUAAUCGGCCACAUUGGGACUGAGACACGGCCCAAACUCCUACGGGAGGCAGCAGUAGGGAAUCUUCCACAAUGGACGAAAGUCUGAUGGAGCAACGCCGCGUGAGUGAAGAAGGGUUUCGGCUCGUAAAACUCUGUUGUUAAAGAAGAACAUAUCUGAGAGUAACUGUUCAGGUAUUGACGGUAUUUAACCAGAAAGCCACGGCUAACUACGUGCCAGCAGCCGCGGUAAUACGUAGGUGGCAAGCGUUGUCCGGAUUUAUUGGGCGUAAAGCGAGCGCAGGCGGUUUUUUAAGUCUGAUGUGAAAGCCUUCGGCUCAACCGAAGAAGUGCAUCGGAAACUGGGAAACUUGAGUGCAGAAGAGGACAGUGGAACUCCAUGUGUAGCGGUGAAAUGCGUAGAUAUAUGGAAGAACACCAGUGGCGAAGGCGGCUGUCUGGUCUGUAACUGACGCUGAGGCUCGAAAGUAUGGGUAGCAAACAGGAUUAGAUACCCUGGUAGUCCAUACCGUAAACGAUGAAUGCUAAGUGUUGGAGGGUUUCCGCCCUUCAGUGCUGCAGCUAACGCAUUAAGCAUUCCGCCUGGGGAGUACGGCCGCAAGGCUGAAACUCAAAGGAAUUGACGGGGGCCCGCACAAGCGGUGGAGCAUGUGGUUUAAUUCGAAGCUACGCGAAGAACCUUACCAGGUCUUGACAUACUAUGCAAAUCUAAGAGAUUAGACGUUCCCUUCGGGGACAUGGAUACAGGUGGUGCAUGGUUGUCGUCAGCUCGUGUCGUGAGAUGUUGGGUUAAGUCCCGCAACGAGCGCAACCCUUAUUAUCAGUUGCCAGCAUUAAGUUGGGCACUCUGGUGAGACUGCCGGUGACAAACCGGAGGAAGGUGGGGAUGACGUCAAAUCAUCAUGCCCCUUAUGACCUGGGCUACACACGUGCUACAAUGGAUGGUACAACGAGUUGCGAACUCGCGAGAGUAAGCUAAUCUCUUAAAGCCAUUCUCAGUUCGGAUUGUAGGCUGCAACUCGCCUACAUGAAGUCGGAAUCGCUAGUAAUCGCGGAUCAGCAUGCCGCGGUGAAUACGUUCCCGGGCCUUGUACACACCGCCCGUCACACCAUGAGAGUUUGUAACACCCAAAGUCGGUGGGGUAACCUUUUAGGAACCAGCCGCCUAAGGUGGGACAGAUGAUUAGGGUGAAGUCGUAACAAGGUAACC